rnacentral:lncRNA from 1 species
CGGCUGCCUGCCGGGCUGCGCACCUGGGCGCGCGGCGCUGGAAGCCUCGCGGGUCGCCGCGCCAUGGCCUUCACCUUCGCCGCCUUCUGCUACAUGCUGGCCCUCGUGCUGUGCGCCGCGCUCAUCUUCUUCGCCAUCUGGCACCGACCACCUUUGAGUGCAUUUGUCACGCUUGGAAGGAGCAGAAUAACACUGCGUUUCUCACCGGUGGCUCGCACACCUUCUGUGCCUGGGCUCUUACCUCCAUGUGGCAAUUUGGUCCUCAGAACGGAUGUUUUUCAGAAGAGGAAGUUGCGGAUCACAGAGGUUAUAACACGAGCACAGCAGCACAGCGCCUGGCAUGUGAGACUCCCGCCCCAGCCCC